UGCCCUGCAGCUCGUAUCCUUACCUCCGCGCGGUAAUGGCCGGGCUACGAGCAACCUUAGGGAAGAUCUGGUAGUCAACUCCCGUGGGAACUUUGGUCGUAUGCUGACAGGGAUGG
rfam:Aedes aegypti strain Liverpool supercont1.1235 genomic scaffold, whole genome shotgun sequence.